GACGAACCAUGCGAACGUUAUUCGGAAUCACUGGGCUUAAAGCGCGUGUAGGCGGGCCGGCACGUCGGCCGCUGAAAGCCCCCGGCUCAACCGGGGAAGCGGCGCCGAUACGACCGGCCUGGAGGGGGGUAGGGGGAGCCGGAACUCACGGUGGAGCGGUGAAAUGCGUUGAGAUCGUGAGGAACGCCCGUGGCGAAAGCGGGCUCCUGGGCCCCGCCUGACGCUGAGACGCGAAAGCCAGGGGAGCGAACGGG
rnacentral:rRNA from 1 species